rnacentral:rRNA from 1 species
GACCCAUCCUAUCCCUAUUCCUACGUGCUCUCCAACCCCAGGCCCGACCUCCGCGGUGACUUCGACAUCGACCAGCCGCCCAUCGCGCAAAUGCCCUAUGCCUCCCCCGCCUGCUCAACGCUCCAAGAGCUCGGCCGCCGCCGCCACGAACGCCGACAAGUAUAGUGCGCCGUGCACCGUGGCCGUGCCCUUGAUCUCCUCGAUCUGGUCACGCGUUAGCGUGAAGGACGCGAUCAACGGAGACGGGGAUGGAGGCCCCUGCGCUGUCACUACACCGACGCCUCGAAGAUUGGUGUGCAGUUGGCUGGGUGGGCGCGGGAGGUCCCAUCGGCGGCAAGCGACGCGCGCGCCGGCAGUGCGGCGGCCUGGUCCGAGUAGAGGCGUAGGCGGGCGAGCGCCUUCUUGUGAAGGAGUGGAUCGCUGGAGAACGCCUGCUCUGUUCUUCAAUCACGUUCUGGUGAAGGAAUCGAUCGCCAAGAACGAAGUGCUCUGUUCUUUAAUCUUGUACCUAAUUCUGAAGUUUGCUUUCUUCAAUCUUGUACGUAAUUCUAAAGUUUGAUUUUCUCCUGCUAUCUUCCCCAUUAACCGCUCAUUGGAAUUGAUGGAAUUAGGAACAUCAUAUUGCUUUCAAGUUGAUCAACCUCUGCCCUUUACUCAUGGAAGAAGCAACUGAAUGAGGACAACCUGCUCUCUUUCUCAAUCUGGUGCCUAAGUCUGAAUUUUCCCUUUCUCAUGCCAUCUUCCCAUGAAUAGGUCACUAGAACUGAUAGAAUUUUGAAGGCUGCUUUCAACUUGAUCAAACUUUCCCCUUUAUAGAAGGAAGAAUCAGCCAGUUGUAUUUUAUAUAUUGAGAUGGAAGAAGAGUCUAACACAUAGCACCACUUUUUAAUUUCAUUCUGUAUACUAGAUGGAUUUAGCUGUCCCAAGUAUUCCCACUUCUUGCUUAUUUUCAUGAGGUCUCACAAUUUUUAGUAAGAAUCAUAUUUUUUCUCUUAUCAUGAAAUAUGGCACUUGCACAAGUUUUUUUGCUCAUGAUUACUUUUCUAUUACAGAGGUUUAUUGUCCGGUUUGGUACCUCAUGUUGGCAUGGAAUUUAAAAUUUCAAACGAAGCUUGGGCAUUUUGAUUUAGCUAUAUGCAUGCCCCUGGUUUAAAGGGCUUUGGAGUCCGGAAAAGAUACACAGACAAGAGGUCCGCCGAUGGCAAGGUUACGUCAUGCCGAUUUAUUUGUGCAAGCAAAUGGAAUGUUUAAUCUCUUUUGCCAAACAAAAUUCAGUUAUCAAGUCUAAAAAUGUCUAAGUAGCAAGUGGAAUGCUACAGCGACAUGGCCUAAUUCAGUUAACAAGUUUGAAAGCUACAUUCAGUUAUCAGCUGAUCGGCCUGCAGUGGUGCGACAACUACGGCGUGGCUCAGCCGACCACCACCAUGGAGAUGGUUUUCAUUGCGAGUGAAUGCUUCUGCCGUCGUCGGAUGGCUUACGAACGGGGGAUACACACAUCACGUCCCUCUGCAGUAGGCUGAGCUACCUUGGAGGAUCUCGAUCCGUAUAUAGGUGAGAGAGCUUUGAGAUUGCUAUACAGCUGUAUAGAUUAGUCCAUUCAGCAAAAAAAUUGGAUCCCUUAUGAAGGUGCGUGUCAUCAACUUAUGGAUUCCUUUUUACUGCAUCUCUUGCCCAUUUUUCUUGGGCAUAUAAAUCUUAAGGGCAGUCUAUUUGUGCAGCAAUGAACUCCCAUAAAUUAAUAAUUUGAUCCUUUAUCGUAGUACUAUCAACUUAUAUUUUUCAUGAAAUUGUAAGAUUUAUUAUCCAUCCAUGUGGUAAUAAACCACUGAUUAUAGCGUGUUUAAGCUUGAGAUGAUAAUGAUGUUCAAAUUAGGAGUACAUAAUGGUUUGGAGAUUUUCAUUAGAAAAAAUAUCACUUUCAUACACAUUAAGGAGCACUAUGGUCAUGUUAGCUACUAUUUGAUUUUGUUGUUUCUCACUAAGAGCAAUUCGACUUAUAAUCCUAAUGCUAUGUUGUUAAUUUCCAAAUGAUUAAAAGUCGGGUACGUGCUUUAUUGUGAAAAUUCACAAGAGAAGCAUGCUAUUUGAAAUAAUUGGUUGCAGAUACCUUUGUUGCUUUGGACCUUGCCAUGGAACGAGUGACACUAAAUGACCACAAAUGGACUACAUUGGCCAGGACCUUCAAGUUAUGAGUAAGCGUGGUUCCACCUUUAGUGGUUUGUGCAUCCGAUUUGUCUGUUAGGGAGACUUCUGUGACUGGUUUCACGUGUACCUCAGAGUGCUUGGUACAGCUGCAGGGGCGAGGAUGUCAUAUUGACGCAUCUUGAUGGUUUGUUUCUGUAUGAACUAGCAAUAUUUUGUUUCUUAGAUGCACAAACUUGUAUCUCAGAAUUAUGAUAAAAUUAUGUCAUUUGAUUAGCUCAUGUGUAAACUACUAAUUUCCAUUGCCUCUAUACACACACCUGCAUAUCUUUUUUUUCUGGCCCAUUCGUAGGUACCAAGUAGAAGAUAAUAAGAUUGAAGAUAUAUUUCUCUUGAUUGGUAAUAUUAUACCUCAAAUUUAGUUCUUUUUACAUUCAAUGAUGACUCUAAGCUACGAAUAACACAUGAAUUAAGUUAUGCAGAUUAAGAGGUCAUGACUGUGAUACAUGACAAACAGUUUUGUGUGCAUGAUGAACAUCUAUAUGGUACCAUGGUUGCCGGGGAGGUGUUGCGACGGCGUCCGCUUCCUAGAUGCACUAGCUGUGGGGGCGGACAUAAUUUAAUUUUCUUG